rnacentral:rRNA from 1 species
CCUGGCUCAGAACGAACACUGGCGGCGUGGAUUAGGCAUGCAAGUCGAACGAGAAAGGUCCCUUCGGGGGCUGAGUAGAGUGGCGAACGGGACAGUAACACGUGGGAAACCUGCCCUGCAGUGGGGGAUAACACUUCCAACGAGGUGCUAAUACCGCAUACGACCGCCGGUCGCAUGGCCGGCUGGUGAAAGGUGGCCUCUGCUUGCAAGCUGCCGCUGCUGGAUGGUCCCGCGCCCGAUUAGCUUGUUGGCGGGGUAACGGCCCACCAAGGCUACGAUCGGUAGGCGACCUGAGAGGGUGACCGCCGUCACUGGGACUGAGAUACGGCCCAGACUCCUACGGGAGGCAGCAGUCGAGAAGCUUCGGCAAUGGGCGAAAGCCUGACCGAGCGACGCCGCGUGAGCGAUGAAGGCCCUAGUGGUCGUAAAGCUCUGUCAGAUUGGGAACAAAUCCCGGGGGCGAACAACCCCCGGUGCUGAGGGUACCGUCAGAGGAAGCACCGGCUAACUCCGUG